AACGAACGCUGGCGGCAUGCCUAACACAUGCAAGUCGAACGAUACCUUCGGGUCUAGUGGCGCACGGGUGCGUAACGCGUGGGAACCUGCCCUUAGGUUCGGAAUAACGCCCCGAAGGGGGUGCUAAUACCGGAUAAUGUCUUCGGACCAAAGAUUUAUCGCCUUUGGAUGGGCCCGCGUUGGAUUAGCUAGUUGGUAGGGUAAAAGCCUACCAAGGCGACGAUCCAUAGCUGGUCUGAGAGGAUGAUCAGCCACACUGGGACUGAGACACGGCCCAGACUCCUACGGGAAGCAGCAGUGGGGAAUAUUGGACAAUGGGCGAAAGACUGAUCCAGCCAUGCCGCGUGAGUGAUGAAGGCCUUAGGGUUGUAAAGCUCUUUUACCCGGGAUGAUAAUGACAGUACCGGGAGAAUAAGCGCCGGCUAACUACGUG
rnacentral:rRNA from 1 species